GCCUUCGCGGUGUAGUGGUCAGCACGCUCGACGCGUAACCGAGAGGUCCGUGGUUCGAGUCCCGGCAAAGGCG
rnacentral:tRNA from 1 species